rnacentral:lncRNA from 1 species
CUUCCCAGCUUAAAGUCUCAGGGAGAAAAGAGUGAUUGUCUUUUUCAACAGUUCCAAUAUGAUGAUCAGAAUUGAAUCUAGUUGGCUCUGACUGGCCACUUGCCCAUGUACUCUAGUCACUGGCCUGGGGAAUGUAAUACUCUCACUUGUUUAGGGUUCGUGCCCGUGCUUAUCCAGAAACUGGGUUAGAGUCUGCACUGACUGAAUCAUAGGGUCCUAGCAAUUUGGGGGCAUAUGCAGAGGGGAGGAGGCAGGAGUGGGCAGGUAGGAUCUGAAAGCAGUGGUAACACUGUUAGCUGUUAUGCUGGUCUUAGCAGCAAGUAGGAACUGUGAAGUCUGGGAAAUCGGCCAGGGUUAGGUAGUUCCUAAAGAGCAUUUUAGAAAGGUCAGGUAUCAUCUGUUAACUUGUGUUUAGAUUGCUAAAGAUUGCUGCUCAGCCGGGCACAGUGGCUGACUCCUAUAAUCCCAGCACUUUGGGAGGCCGAGGCGGGCGGAUCACCUGAGGUCGGGAGUUUGAGACCAGCCUAGCCAACAUGGUGAAACCCUGUCUCUACAAGAAACAGUAGCCAGGCGUGGUGGCCUGUGCCUGUAAUCUCAGCUACUCAGGAGGCUGGGGCAGGAGAAUCACUUGAACCCGGGAGGUGGAGGUUGCAGGGAGCCAAGAUUGUGCCAGUGCACUCCAGCCUGGGCAACAGAGUGAGACUCUGUGUCAAAAAAAAAAAAAAAGAUUGCUGCUUAAUCUUUAAUGAGCAUAAAGAUCAACUUGAGAUCUGACACCUGUUUAAGAAUUAUUUGCCUGGACCAAGAUAAUGAAUCUAUUCUCCUAUGUGUCCUUCUAGAUUCUUUAUUGUUUUUUAAUGUAGGUCUGUGAUCUACUUUGAAUAAUUUUUUGUAGCGCGUGAGGUGGGAUCAAGGUGUGUGUAUAUAGAUUUAUCAAAGAGACCAUGGUUUCCUCUCUGCUUAGGCGAUCUCUGCCCCUUGGUUCAUUUGUCUUUUCUUGCAUCAGUAGCAUACGAUCUUAAUUUAUGUUGCUUUGUAGUAUUUUUGGAAAUCUGGUAGUGAAACCCUUCCAACUUUUUUAUUCUUUAAGAUUGUCUUGCCUUCUCUGUUCCCCAGGUUUUCCAAAUUAAUUUUGGAAUCUCAGGAUUAAUUUUCACAAAUGAAUUUUUGGUACUAUGCCUGUAAUUGCAUUGAUUUUGUAAAAUAACCUAAGGAUAAUUGACAUCUUUACAAUAUCGAGUUUUCCAAUUGAUGAGUAUGGUAUAAUUUUCCAUUUACCUAGGUUGUCUUUAACUUUUCUCAAGAGUGUUUUAUAGUUUUAAUUGUAGAAAUCUUGAUUUGUUUAAUUUAUUUCUAGGUUUAUGUUGCUUUGUAUUUUUUUUAUUUGUUUUUCAGUGCUUUUGGCUAGUACAUAGAAUUGCAAUAUCUUUUUGUAUAUUGACUUUAUAGCUGGUGACAUUUAUAAAUUCAAUUAUUUAUUCCAAUACUUUGUGGAUUAUUUUGGAUUUUCUAUAUAUAUAAUCCUGUGAAUACCAAUAAAAGAAAGUCUUACCUAAUUUCUAAACUUGAUGUUUUGCUAAUUUUUCUUGCCUUAUUUCUUUAGAGUAACGAAUAGAAAUGAUGAAAAUGAGUAUCUUUGCCUUGUUUCUGAACUUAGGGAAAUGUGUUUAAUAUUUCACCAUUAAGUAUGACACUACCUAGAAGUUUUUUUAUAAAUAACCUUUAUCAAAUUAAGGGAAUUCUGUUUUGUUCUUGGAUCGUCAAGAUUGUUUUAUAAAAAUCAUGAAUGGACAUUAGAUUUUAUCUAGUGCCUUCUCUGCAUGUAUCAGGGUCUUUUAAGAAAUCCUUGUCAAUCCUGAGAGGUCUGGAAAAGAAAUUCUUAAAUCUGUUAAUAAGGUGAAUUCCUUGAUUUUCAUAUGGUAAAACAACAGCUAUUACUGGAAUAAACCACACUUGGAUAUG